UGGGGAAUAUUGGACAAUGGGCGCAAGCCUGAUCCAGCAAUGCCGCGUGAGUGAUGAAGGCCUUAGGGUUGUAAAGCUCUUUCGGCGGGGAAGAUGAUGACGGUACCCGCAGAAGAAGCCCCGGCUAACUUCGUGCCAGCAGCCGCGGUAAUACGAAGGGGGCUAGCGUUGUUCGGAAUUACUGGGCGUAAAGGGCGCGUAGGCGGCGCGUUAAGUCAGAUGUGAAAGCCCUGGGCUCAACCCAGGAAUUGCAUUUGAUACUGACGUGCUUGAAUCCGGAAGAGGAUGACGGAAUUCCCAGUGUAGAGGUGAAAUUCAUUGAUAUUGGGAAGAACACCAGUGGCGAAGGCGGUCAUCUGGUCCGGUAUUGACGCUGAGGCGCGAAAGCGUGGGGAGCAAACAGG
rnacentral:rRNA from 1 species